AUCUCCCGGGCUUCUCCAGCGAUAAGCUUCUUCGGUUGUCCAUCAGGCUGCUCCAAGUGCUCUCUGGAUUCUACCAUCGGCCGAUCUCCUACAAGGGUCAACCAUUCUCCGGACCCCUUCCGGAUCUUUUCCGACAAGAUUCGAUCGACUCCAAUCCGAAUUUCUUCCAGAACUACGUCAGUUCGUCAGUGGCCGAACUUUUCCAACAGCAGAUCUCCACGACGAACGGGCUCCAUCCAAGUUUCUACAGCGGUCGAUCGCCUUCUGGGUUUCAUCCGGGCUCCUACGGGAGCCGGACUUCUUUUCUAAACUCCUACUGCAGGUAGACUUCGUCCGAGCUCCUACGGGAGCCGAACUUCAGCCCUGAGCUCCCAUUGCAGGUAGACCUCAUCCGAAUUCUUACAAGGGCCGAACUCCGAGCCCCCACCACAAGCGAUCUACUCCGAGCUUCUGCUACAAGCGAUCUACUCCGAGCUUCUGCUACAAGCGAUCUACUCCGAGCUACUACUACAAGCGGUCUACUUCAAAUUUCUACUACGAGCAGUCCGCGUCGGAUUUCUACUGUAAGCCUCCACUCGAGCUUCCCUUG
rnacentral:lncRNA from 1 species